AAUAUUGACAUGGGGUUUCUUCCUCUCGAAUUUGCCACGGGCAGCACGGACAGUGAAGCGGCGUUGGUGGUGGGUAGUGGGAGAAGUAGCGGCGGGUGAGUGGAGGAGAAGGGUAGAAAAGUUGGGGGUAAAUGAAGAGGAUAGGAUAAGCUUAGAUGGUUUAGCAGCGGAAGGAAGAAGGGGAUUAGAAGGGUUUAGGAGCUUAGGAGAAGAAGUGGCGGUGGCAGCCGCUGCUGAAAUUGAAGCCAUGGCGGAGAAGGAUAAGAGUGAGGAUUGGGAUUUGAAAGAAAUUGGGGAAGAAGUGAGAAGAGGAG
rnacentral:misc_RNA from 1 species